ACGCUGGCGGCGUGCCUAAUACAUGCAAGUCGAGCGAAGUUUUUCUGGUGCUUGCACUAGAAAAACUUAGCGGCGAACGGGUGAGUAACACGUAAAGAACCUGCCUCAUAGACUGGGACAACUAUUGGAAACGAUAGCUAAUACCGGAUAACAGCAUUAACUGCAUGGUUGAUGUUUAAAAAUUGGUUUUGCUAACACUAUGAGAUGGCUUUGCGGUGCAUUAGCUAGUUGGUGGGGUAAAGGCCUACCAAGGCGACGAUGCAUAGCCGACCUGAGAGGGUGAUCGGCCACACUGGGACUGAGACACGGCCCAGACUCCUACGGGAGGCAGCAGUAGGGAAUCUUCCGCAAUGGGCGAAAGCCUGACGGAGCAACGCCGCGUGAGUGAAGAAGGAUUUCGGUUCGUAAAGCUCUGUUGUUAGGGAAGAAUGAUUGUGUAGUAACUAUACACAGUAGAGACGGUACCUAACCAGAAAGCCACGGCUAACUACGUGCCAGCAGCCGCGGUAAUACGUAGGUGGCAAGCGUUGUCCGGAAUUAUUGGGCGUAAAGCGCGCGCAGGUGGUUUAAUAAGUCUGAUGUGAAAGCCCACGGCUCAACCGUGGAGGGUCAUUGGAAACUGUUAAACUUGAGUGCAGGAGAGAAAAGUGGAAUUCCUAGUGUAGCGGUGAAAUGCGUAGAGAUUAGGAGGAACACCAGUGGCGAAGGCGGCUUUUUGGCCUGUAACUGACACUGAGGCGCGAAAGCGUGGGGAGCAAACAGGAUUAGAUACCCUGGUAGUCCACGCCGUAAACGAUGAGUGCUAAGUGUUGGUCUCAUAAGAGAUCAGUGCUGCAGCUAACGCAUUAAGCACUCCGCCUGGGGAGUACGACCGCAAGGUUGAAACUCAAAGGAAUUGACGGG
rnacentral:rRNA from 1 species